UGGGGAGCGCGGGCGGGGAGGUGGUGCGCGUGGGAAAGCGCAAUGGAGGGACGGAGGGAGGGGGGAAGCAAUACGUCGCAAAGAACAAACACAAAAAAGGCUUCCCGGUGGCAAGGGAGGCGCAGGGCUGAGGGAGAAAGAGGCAGCCCCAGAGCGAGCAGCUUCUAGUUCAGGGAGUCCCUCACACAGGCGAGGAGGAGAGAGAGAGAGAAACAGCAGCAGCAGCAGCAGCGAGAGGAGGAGCAGAAGUGGCGCCGGAGAGGGCAGCGCGCGAGCAUCGCCGGCAAUGCGCAUGAGCCCAGCUCGGCGAGGCUCAACACCACAGGCGCUGCUGGCGGCGGCCAAAUGGCGAGGGAGGAGGCAUUCCAGCCGAGGCUGCAGGCACCUUUCUGGCCCCCCUGAGAGGAUUCUGUCCGAUUCCCUGGCCCGCAGCUUAGCCGGCCCCUGCUUGCGCACUCUCUCUCGCCGGUCUCCUGCCUGCUUUCCUCUCCCUCUCCACUCACCGGCCCCCUCACGCUGCACCGUGUCGCCUUCGAUAACGCGAGUCGCCGCGUUCAGACGUGCGCUGAGGAGGAGGAGGAGCGCUGACCCUCUCCUCGACUUUCAGUCGGGUCAACGUUCACAAUGCCCGACGCCUGCCAGAGACGGCUGCUGUUGUUGUUGUGGGAGGGCGGUGGGCGAAUGGAGCUCGUCUGACGAGAGCGAGGCACUUCUGUGCAUGGCAGAGAGCACCACCAGGGAGAAAAUGAGCCCCCAACACUGAAUGCAAAACUGCCCUGUUUCACGAGCCAACUGUCAAAUGUUUGGAAUUCUGCCUCAAUAAAAAUAAUGAGUUAUCUAAAGUACAUGCACUUUGGUAGAAUUUGUUUCAAGUUUAUUACAUUCCAAUUUUUAAAUACAUUUCCAAUAAAAUGCAAGCAACUAUACGGAAUUCAAAGAAGCCAUCCAUCCAUCCUGCACCCUAAAAUUAAUCUUGCAUGCAUAUAUGCACAUAUAUGCACAAUUAAAAUGGUUAUUGAAUUUCCACAUGUGUUUUCUUAAAGCAACUGCAUCACUAUGCUCUCCAGCAUUGCAAGUCUAUACAUUGCAAGCAUCAGAAGUUAGCCUGGUUUAGUUCAAUGUGGAUCACUUCCCCCCUGGUAAAUAGGCAUAGGGUUGCAAAUCCAAUGACUUUUUUGCCUGACACUGCAACUACACCAGCAGCCGCACUGGGACUCACUUAAAUGCACAAAGCUUUUCUCCAACUAGCUUUAGCUCAGCCUGCAAUUUGUCACUCCCAGUGGUGUAACGGUAAAUGUUGAAGUGCAGGACUCAUCGUGACAGCUCCCACAGUCAUACCCCCAAAGAGAAUCCAAAAAUGCAGACGUCUGUGUUGAUCCAUUAUUAUAUCAUCAACAGCAGCAGCAUGUGGCAUAAUGCCCAACUUAUUAAGAUCAUCAUGACUGCAAUCUUAUGCAUAUAGUUUCCUGGAAGCAAGCAAGCAAAAUAAAUUCACCUUUGAAUUGACUGCAUUGGUUCAACUUGCAAAACAUACUGAGAUUUAACAAAAAAUAUUCAGCCAGAUGAAAUGCAAGUUCAGUUUUUUAAUUAGAAAUGCAAACAACCAAAUGCAAACAAAACAAAUGCAAGUCUUAUCAUUUAAACAGUGUAAAGUAGGAACGCCUUAAAAGAAAAGACAUAUGCAGCCUCUGCUUGCUUUUCUUACUCAUUCUCCAGUUUCCUCUGUGCUCAGGGUGUAGAAGCUUUGGCCUCCAGAUUUUGCUAAACUACAACACCCAUUAUCCUGGGCCAUUGCCCAGGCUUGCUGGGAUGGAUGGGAGUUGUAGUUUAGCAACAUCUGGAGGACCAAAGGUUCCCCACUCCUUCUCUCUGCUUCAUUUUCACCUCCCUCAUCUGCCAGAUCAAGGAGGGUUGAUCAAUCAUCACCCCAAUGCUUCAGCAGCUGACACCAUCAUCUCCUCUGAAAAGCAUCCCAGAGCAGUACUUUCCUGUGCCUUGCCUCCCAUGACACUGGUCAUUCCACUCCCUUGGAGGUUUCCCCAUUGCUCCUAGAUGAAAGCCUGAGAAGAAACUACACAAUACAGUGGCACCUCUGCUUACAAACUUAAUUCGUUCCGGAGGUCCAUUCUUAACCUGAAACCAUUCUUAACCUGAGGUACCACUUUAGCUAAUGGGGCCUCCCGCUGCCGCCGCUCAGCCAGCACGUGAUUUGUGUUCUCAUCCUGAGGUAAAGUUCUUAACCCGAGGUACUACUUCCAGGUUAGUAGAGUCUGUAACCCGAAGUGUUUGUAACCCAAGGUGUUUGUAACCCAAGAUACCACUGUACUGAGGCAGCUCGUACAUGAGAGAGAGGCUACGACAGGUUGUAGGCUCAGCUCUCUGGGUUAAUCUUCAGCCUUCAGACCCCCUGGCCCUUUAACUUAGAAUUAAAGACAGAGAGUUGAUUGUGCUGGCUGAGAUAGUGUCAUUGUGGGGGAAUAUCCGCUGUCAUUUCCCUUGGGCGUCUGGGAGUCAGCCCCAUGCAUUCCUCACUGCUGCUUCCCAAGUAAGAAGGGAGCCCUGCAUGUCCGGGGGGAGCAAAGGCAGUGAAUCACAGGAACAUAGGAAGCUGCCUUAUACCAAGUGAGAUCAUUAGCCUAUCUAGCUUAGUAUUGUCUACACUGGCUCCAUAGGGUUUCAGGCAGGAUUCUCUCCCAAGCCAGGGAUUGAACCUGGCACCUUCUGCUUGCAAAGCAGAUGCUCUACCACUGAGCCACGGCCCGUCCACAAUGGAAAUGUUGGUGGCUACCCAUCACAAUCCAUUCUUUGCCUUCCACCUUAAGGCCAAAGGAUAUCAGAUUCAUAAGAUAUCAGUGCUAUGGCAGCUGGUAGUCCCAGCGAGAAGUGGAUGGAUGGAGGUGGGCAACAAGAGCAGGGUUUUUUGUAUCUAUCUGUUGGGGAUAUACUUUCCCCCUCCAGAUUAAUGCAUUAUUAUAUAACAAAGAAUAAAAAGUUUUGGUAGCAACCUGACCUUGUAAAUAGGUAUAUGCACACUUCACUAUACUGCCAAUUCAAUCUGACUGUUCCUGGCAAUAAAGUUUAAAGAGCUUUGUUUCAGGAUCAGUGCCUUAAUUAGCCCUAGGGCUUUUAUAACGCAAAGAAAAGCAGGAGAGAAACAGCCGUUACAAGUUUUUAUCAGGGUGAUAAAUGAUACCGACUAAUUGAAAAGAAAUAAGGAAACAAAGAUGUACCCUAUCAGGCUUAUAUGAUGCUGAAAAGUUAAUGUGGCAAAUCUGAAAGGAGCAAUCAUUGAAAUACCCUAAAGGAGAAGAUAGGUCCUGUUUUAAAUGCACGUUUCAAACAAUGUUGUAAGUUAGGAAAAUCUUUAUCACUUCUAGUGUAAUUAAGUUGCUUCUUAUUGGCUUCUCAGUGCUUUUUUAUUUUUUAGACACAGGAUUUUGGUGACGUCCCACAUGCCACUUCCUUGUCACAUCUGAACAGACAAGAAAAUGUAUAAUGCAUGUAUGUAUUUAUUUUUAAGUUUCUAGAUGUCAAUGGCUCAGGGCACUAAGAAGCAAGCAAAAUAUAUCUUCUUUGCAGGCAUAGAGAGUAGUUAGACAUAGCUGCUAAUGCCCUGCAUUUUGGAUCAACACAACUACCAAAUGCCAGCACAAAUAAAAAGCUCUUGAGGUUCUUUGAAAUAAAUAAUGGCAGAUCUAUUGGUUGAAUCAUGGGAGGAGAAGCUGUGGAAUGCAAUUCAUUGGCAAUGGAGUAGUCUGGAUGCUCCAGUGAACAAAGGAUAGCAAUGUUAGACUAAACUGCAAAUAUGGGAUCAGCCUGUCCUCUCUGCUUACCCUGACUCACUUCAUACCAUUGAAUUAUAUCAUUAUUGCUUAUAAGCAGUCUCCCUGCAGUGUGGCAUAGUGAUCGGACUAGGACUUGGGAGACCAGGGUUCAAAUCCCUGCUGAGCCAUGAAGUUCACUGGGUGACCUGGGGCCAGUCACAGCCUAACCUACCACACAGGGUUGUUGUGCGGAUAAAUUGAGGAGGGAGAGAACCACGUACACCACCUUGAACUUGGAGAAAAAAAGUGGCAUAUGGAUGCAAUAAAUAAAUGUUAUAAUAUGCAUACAGUGGAUAAAAUAAAAUAAAUUUUCAUGCUGGUGUGUUCCAUUGGG
ensembl:lncRNA